UACGUAGGGACCGAGCGUUGUCCGGAAUCAUUGGGCGUAAAGAGCGUGUAGGCGGCCACUUAAGUCCUGCGUGAAAUCUUGCGGCUCAACCGCAAGCGGUCGUGGGAAACUGGGUGGCUAGAGUGCGGGAGAGGAGAGUGGAAUUCCUGGUGUAGCGGUGAAAUGCGCAGAUAUCAGGAAGAACACCAAUGGCGAAAGCAGCUUUCUGGGACGGUACUGACGCUGAGACGCGAAAGCGUGGGGAGCGAACAGG
rnacentral:rRNA from 1 species